UCCCUGAUGGCUCAGUGGUAAAGAAUCAGCCUAUCAGUGCAGGAGACACAGGUUCAAUCCCUGAUCUGGGAA
rnacentral:tRNA from 1 species